CUACCUCCUAAUGAAAUAUUUCGCCCUCUCCCACUUCGUUAAUUAAAAAAUCAAACUUCAAAUUUCGUCUCAGCACUCAACCUUGACAACACAAAAACACGAAAAAAAAUAAUACACCAGAGCCCCCUACAUCCGGGUGACUCAGCCUUUGUUCUCUUAUUUCCCUUCGAAGCAGAAUACAAAUUGGAACUUCUAUCCCCACACGCCUCGGGUAUAUAUACACUCCAUCGUCCCUGCAAGUCCUGAACUCCAGCCUGAGAGAUAAAAAAACAGACCAGCCCUCAUCAGAAUAUACAAGGAAUAUCAAUGGGGGUUUCUGCCGGACUCCUCCUGCAUCCAACCCCAACACCCAGCCACGGCCUCCCCCUGUAACACACGACGCCGGCUGCCACGUAAUCGGGAGUGACGGGUGUCGUCGCCAAUGGGGCUGUUUGGCCACGGCGGAGACACAGCAACAGCAGGACACAGUGCACGCAGACGCUAAGGUCAACGACGACACCGGCCUCUGCACGGCAUUAAGCUGCAUUCCCACGUGCAUUAACAAGAACAGCCGAUGAUCAGCUGUAUGAACGGGAAUGAAGCUCUGCGGCGACGAGGGAGAGCGACCCGACCUUAAUGAAGGGUUCCUGCUCGCUGAAUGGCGCGAUGGGGGAGGGGAGCAGCCUGGCCGGGAUUUCAAAUUGGUUGCCCAAAAUAAAUAGUCUGUCCGCCCCCCCCACGCCCGCCUCCACGAAGUCCCGGAAGACCCCGUCUAUUGAGGCAGAACACAAGCCUGAGAAUAAGCCACGAGGACCUGAAGCAUCGUGGUUCGCAGCCGCCGCCGUCGACAACAAAAUGCACCUGGGAUGAGCUCUUGUUUACUUUUAUCUCCCUGCCAUUCACGAGUUGCAACGGCUCGCGGGCUUCGGCGGAGGUUAUUCAGGGCCUACCCCUUAACCCAUCCUCAACCCUACGCACCAGCACAACAGCUGAUGGAUGACAGAACACACUGUCGCGUCCAGAAAUUGGCACAAAAAAUCAAUAAUAAAAAUAAUAAUAACAAUAAAUCAAUAAAUAGAUAAGGACUCCC